GAUGAACGCUGGCGGCGUGCCCAAUACAUGCAAGUCGAGCGAAGCGGGGACGGGUGAGUAACACGUGGAUAACCUCCUAUAAGACUGGGAUAACUUCGGGAAACCGGAGCUAAACCGGAUACUUACAGAUGGAUCCGCGCUGCAUUAGCUAGUUGGUAAGGUAACGGCUUACCAAGGCACCGAUGCAUAGCCGACCUGAGAGGGUGGUAGACCACAGCAGACGUGACACACGGUCCAGAAUGCUACGGUAGGCCGCAGUAGGGAAUAGACCGAAGUGAGCGACAGCCUGACGGAGGAACGCCGCGUGAGUGAUGAAGGUCUUCGGAUCGUAAAGCUCUGUUAUUAGGGAAGCGGCACCUAAUCAGAAAACCACGACUAACUACGUGCCAGCAGCCGCGGUAAUAC
rnacentral:rRNA from 1 species